rnacentral:rRNA from 1 species
AAUCUGCCUAUUAGUGGGGGACAACAUUUCGAAAGGAAUGCUAAUACCGCAUACGUCCUACGGGAGAAAGCAGGGGAUCUUCGGACCUUGCGCUAAUAGAUGAGCCUAAGUCGGAUUAGCUAGUUGGUGGGGUAAAGGCCUACCAAGGCGACGAUCUGUAGCGGGUCUGAGAGGAUGAUCCGCCACACUGGGACUGAGACACGGCCCAGACUCCUACGGGAGGCAGCAGUGGGGAAUAUUGGACAAUGGGCGCAAGCCUGAUCCAGCCAUGCCGCGUGUGUGAAGAAGGCCUUAUGGUUGUAAAGCACUUUAAGCGAGGAGGAGGCUACUUUAGAUAAUACCUAGAGAUAGUGGACGUUACUCGCAGAAUAAGCACCGGCUAACUCUGUGCCAGCAGCCGCGGUAAUACAGAGGGUGCAAGCGUUAAUCGGAUUUACUGGGCGUAAAGCGCGCGUAGGCGGCUAAUUAAGUCAAAUGUGAAAUCCCCGAGCUUAACUUGGGAAUUGCAUUCGAUACUGGUUAGCUAGAGUGUGGGAGAGGAUGGUAGAAUUCCAGGUGUAGCGGUGAAAUGCGUAGAGAUCUGGAGGAAUACCGAUGGCGAAGGCAGCCAUCUGGCCUAACACUGACGCUGAGGUGCGAAAGCAUGGGGAGCAAACAGGAUUAGAUACCCUGGUAGUCCAUGCCGUAAACGAUGUCUACUAGCCGUUGGGGCCUUUGAGGCUUUAAUGGCGCCGCUUACGCGAUAAGUAGACCGCCUGGGGGAGUACAGUCGCCACACUAAAACUCACAUGAAUUGGAUG